AGCAUAUCAAUAAGCGGAGGAAAAGAAACCAACAGGGAUUGCUCUAGUAACGGCGAGUGAAGCAGCAAUAGCUCAAAUUUGAAAUCUGGCGUCUUCGGCGUCCGAGUUGUAAUUUGUAGAGGAUGCUUCUGAGUAACCACCGACCUAAGUUCCUUGGAACAGGACGUCAUAGAGGGUGAGAAUCCCGUAUGCGGUCGGAAAGGUGCUCUAUACGUAGCUCCUUCGACGAGUCGAGUUGUUUGGGAAUGCAGCUCUAAAUGGGAGGUAAAUUUCUUCUAAAGCUAAAUAUUGGCCAGAGACCGAUAGCGCACAAGUAGAGUGAUCGAAAGAUGAAAAGCACUUUGGAAAGAGAGUUAAAAAGCACGUGAAAUUGUUAAAAGGGAAGGGAUUGCAACCAGACUUGCUCGCGGUGUUCCGCCGGUCUUCUGACCGGUCUACUCGCCGCGUUGCAGGCCAGCAUCGUCUGGUGCCGCUGGAUAAGACUUGAGGAAUGUAGCUCCCUCGGGAGUGUUAUAGCCUCUUGUGAUGCAGCGAGCGCCGGGCGAGGUCCGCGCUUCGGCUAGGAUGCUGGCGUAAUGGUCGUAAUCCGCCCGUCUUGAAACACGGACCAAGGAGUCUAACAUCUAUGCGAGUGUUCGGGUGUCAAACCCCUACGCGUAAUGAAAGUGAACGGAGGUGAGAACCGCAAGGUGCAUCAUCGACCGAUCCUGAUGUCUUCGGAUGGAUUUGAGUAAGAGCAUAGCUGUUGGGACCCGAAAGAUGGUGAACUAUGCCUGAAUAGGGUGAAGCCAGAGGAAACUCUGGUGGAGGCUCGCAGCGGUUCUGACGUGCAAAUCGAUCGUCAAAUUUGGGUAUAGGGGCGAAAGACUAAUCGAACCAUCUAGUAGCUGGUUCCUGCG
rnacentral:rRNA from 1 species